rnacentral:rRNA from 1 species
GACGAGGGAUCCUAGCGUUGUUCGGAAUCAUUGGGCGUAAAGCGGGUGUAGGUGGGCUUCUAAGUCAGAUGUGAAAUCCCAGGGCUCAACCCUGGAAGUGCAUUUGAUACUGGAAGUCUUGAGUGUGGUAGAGGUUACUAGAAUUGUUGGUGUAGUGGUGAAAUACGUAGAUAUCAACAGGAAUACCGGUGGCGAAGGCGGGUAACUGGCGUAGACACUGACACUCAGACCCGAAAGCUGGGGAUC